UGAGGAAUAUUGGUCAAUGGGCGGGAGCCUGAACCAGCCAAGUCGCGUGAAGGAAGAAGGAUCUAUGGUUCGUAAACUUCUUUUGCAGGGGAAUAAAGUGCAGGACGUGUCCUGUUUUGUAUGUACCCUGAGAAUAAGGAUCGGCUAACUCCGUGCCAGCAGCCGCGGUAAUACGGAGGAUCCGAGCGUUAUCCGGAUUUAUUGGGUUUAAAGGGUCCGUAGGCGGACUUAUAAGUCAGUGGUGAAAGCCUGUCGCUUAACGAUAGAACUGCCAUUGAUACUGUAAGUCUUGAGUAUAUUUGAGGUAGCUGGAAUAAGUAGUGUAGCGGUGAAAUGCAUAGAUAUUACUUAGAACACCGAUUGCGAAGGCAGGUUACCAAGAUAUAACUGACGCUGAGGGACGAAAGCGUGGGGAGC
rnacentral:rRNA from 1 species